rnacentral:rRNA from 1 species
AUGACGGGUGGGCCACGUUGGUUGUUGGUCCCUCACAUCGGUGGGCGGGGUUGUUCUGGUCCAAGCCGGGUCGUGCGUCGUGCUGUGCGCCAUGCCGGGUCCUGCCCCUACGGCUGGGUGUGGGGUUUCACUUUUGCUGCAGCGCAGCCAGUGUUCUCUCCCAUCCCGAGCCCCGCACCCUCUCCUUCCUUCUCUCCUCCUUUCUCCUCACCAGCCACCAAUCUGCCUUCUUGCUGCUUCAUCUCCUCCACCGCCUUGUCUCCGGCCGCCGGCCUCCCGGCCGCCCUACCUCACAACGACGUUUUCCGAGGAGCAACGCGAGCUAGGCCAGCAUACGGAAGGAGCGGAUCGAGGUCUCGCAUGCUGGCUCCGUCAUCUGCUUCGCCACGUUCUGGAUUCGCGCCGCCCCGUGCGAUGGUUCUAGAUCAGCGCAAGUCAUCGCCGCGGGAUAUCAGGGGCGGUGGGUUCUUCACGUCGAGGGCUGGCGAGCUGGGGAGGGUUACCUCAGAGCUUCAGGCUGCGCACGCGUCGCGAUUUGGCGGUGGGAGAGCGGUUGCCCGGAGGCCGAAGCUCGGCUGCGCACACCUCGUGGGAUUUGGUCUCACCAGGCACUCUAUGCCGGCCUCGUCGGCGUCCCGAGGUGACACAACGACGGCCGCGCUCGACACCCUCUUUCGUGACUGGCUCAACAGUGGUCCAGUGGACGGCGGCCUCAGCAGGUGGUUACGACGAGUGCAGCUGGUGUACGAGCUCUCAGUCGGCUCCUCGUCUCGGGUGCAGACUGAGAGUUGGAUGCUCUGUGCGUAUGGAAGUGCUGCACCCACUGUUGUUCCGGCUGUCACUGGAGGAAAGAGAGUCUGGCUUGCGAGUUUCGCUGAUGCGGCCAUGACGGUGAUGCCAAAUUCCGAGGAGAUACCAAAGGUGUACUGGGAGGCGGUGCUUCCUCGAAUCCCGAUGCCUCCACCUAUCAUCAACCUGCUGUUAGCCCAACAAAACGUUCAGAUGUUCUGGGAUUAUUGGAUUAUAUCUCAAACUUAUGUUGUUGUGCCCUAUGCUGAGAUUCUCCUAGCCAGUGGAAAAGGAGCUCGACCUGCUGCCGGCGACCUUGCCCUCCGACGACCUAGACUACCAGCCCGCCUCCUCUGCUUCGUCCCACCUGCACGAGCCCAACGAGAGAGGAGCUCCUCAACGCCGUGCUCCUCACCGACGCCCGCGCCCAUAACCAGGCACCCAAGGCCGGGCCUCCUGCCUCGUCCGUGCAACCGCGUCGGUGACCAGCAGGACAGCCGCGUCCCUCCUCUAUUUCCUUCUCAUCCUUCUCCUUUCCAUGUAACAGCAGUUGCCACUGGCCUCGUGGAGCUCCCAUGCAGGACCUCGCCGUUGUUUCGCGCCAGAUCCGGCAGGGGACCGCUGGAUCUCGCCGCCUCCGCCAUGAACCUGUCCAUCCCCGACCUCCUCCGUUCCCUGCAUCACCUGAAGCCGCCGCGGUCUCUGCAUCCACUGCAUCGAGCAGAGGUCAGUAACAAUGGCUAUCCUAUCGGGCUCAUCGUGAGGUUCUCCAACCCCUUCGACGCCUACUACCUCCUCAGCCGUGUUUUUUCAUGUGGAUGCGAGUUCAUCGCUUUCACUAUGUACAACAUCUUCACCGACUUUGAGAGCGCCUUCCCCACUGAUGAGCGCAUGCGCACCCUCCGUACCUCACCGACGACGACGAGUGAAGGAGUUGGCCAUGGAGGAGUUGGCCUUGGAGCAAGCAAGCAAGCCGGUGCUGAUAUUGGUCAUUUGAUAUAUAUCGUGCUUGAUGUUCUAUCUAGUUGA